UGGGGAAUGAUUGCACAAUGGGCGAAAGCCUGAUGCAGCAACGCCGCGUGAGUGAUGAAGGCCUUCGGGUUGUAAAGCUCUGUCUUUUGGGACGAUAAUGACGGUACCAAAGGAGGAAGCCACGGCUAACUACGUGCCAGCAGCCGCGGUAAUACGUAGGUGGCAAGCGUUGUCCGGAUUUACUGGGCGUAAAGGAUGCGUAGGCGGAUUUUUAAGUGAGAUGUGAAAACCCUAAGCUUAACUUGGGACUGCAUUUCAUACUGGAAACCCUAGAGUGCGGGAGAGGAGAAUGGAAUUCCUAGUGUAGCGGUGAAAUGCGUAGAGAUUAGGAAGAACACCAGUGGCGAAGGCGAUUCUCUGGACCGUAACUGACGCUGAGGCAUGAAAGCGUGGGUAGCAAACAGGAUUAGAUACCCUGGUAGUCCACGCCGUAAACGAUGAGUACUAGGUGUAGGAGGUAUCGACCCCUUCUGUGCCGCAGUUAACACAAUAAGUACUCCGCCUGGGAAGUACGAUCGCAAGAUUAAAAAC
rnacentral:rRNA from 1 species